GGUUGCUAUAUGCCAAUCAGCAUCAAUACUUUUAUCUAGUAUGUCAUUGAUGUAGACCUACAUGUUACACAUGAUCUGAUAUUUGAACACCUUAUUGAUAAGGUGCUGAUAUAGUCCUUAUAUUUUUUAACCUAAAAAAUAUCAUUUUAUAAUAGUACAAACCCUUGUUAGUAAUAAACGUGAUCUUUUUCUCAUUUUUGGAUACCA
rnacentral:lncRNA from 1 species